UGUGUCGCCUUUGUUUUUCAGACGACAUCAUAACCUUAUGUGUCCCCUUUUAUAUACAGGUGACACCUUAAACGUAAAUCUUAUUGUUUUAUUAAACUCUCGUGUGAAACGAAAUAUUUGAGUGCUUUUUUUUUAUAAAAAGAAUUACAAAGUAUAAGAAAAUACAAAACAUCAACCUAUCAAAUUAAUUAAUGGGACCUAAACUUCAAAAAAAAAAAAAAAAAAGGGAAAAAAAAAAGAAAGCCAUUCAACUCUAACUCAACCCUUACGGGAAACCUCUACCAAAACCACCAUAAACCCUCACGGCAAACCUCUAUCAACGAAUUGGGCACUACCAUCAAUACCCACGAAAUUGAAACCCUCCAUCAACAAUAGAGAAUCGCGAGAUUGCUGGCGAUAGAUUCAUAGGGAAAUCACUUAAGCAACUGCACGGAGCCGUCGAAUCAGGCAGUAGCAAACCCUUAAAAAACGGUCUUCGCAUUUCAACUUGGAGGCAUAUACUCACGAAGUAUCGAUGAUGUUCGUGAAAGAUGGUGUAGAUUUUUCAUUGAUAAUUGUUUAUAGUUAAUUAGUUUCAGUUUGACACUUAGUUGACAUAAACUUCUUAAAUUCGUAUUCAGUAUUUUCUAAUAUGUAAAAAUACAAAAGUAUUACGUAUGACUUUUAUCAUUUUUGGAGAUUAUAUUCCAAUGGUUUGAAUUUUUAUUUA